UCGAACGGUUAAAGCACCUUCGGGUGUGUAUAGAGUGGCGAACGGCUGAGUAACACGUGGGCAACCUGCCCUUUGCAUCGGGACAGCCUCGGGAAACCGUGGUUAAUACCGGAUACUCCAUCUUUCUCACAUGAAAAAGAUGGGAAAGUGUUUAGCGGCAAGGGAUGGGCCCGCGCCCUGUUAGCUUGUUGGUGGGGUAAAAGCCUACCAAGGCAAUGAUGGGUAGCCGGGUUGAGAGACCGACCGGCCAGAUUGGGACUGAGACACGGCCCAGACUCCUACGGGAGGCAGCAGUGGGGAAUCUUGCACAAUGGGCGAAAGCCUGAUGCAGCGACGCCGCGUGCGGGAUGAAGGCCUUCGGGUUGUAAACCGCUUUCAGCAGGGACGAGGCGAAAGUGACGGUACCUGUAGAAGAAGCCCCGGCUAACUACGUGCCAGCAGCCGCGGUAAUACGUAGGGGGCAAGCGUUAUCCGGAUUCAUUGGGCGUAAAGCGCGCGUAGGCUGCCCAGUAGGUCGAGAGUUAAAUCCGGGGGCUCAACCCCCGUCCGCUCCCGAUACCGCUGGGCUUCGAGUCUGGUAGGGGAAAGGUGGAAUUCCCAGUGUAGCGGUGGAAUGCGCAGAUAUUGGGAAGAACACCGGUGGCGAAGGCGGCCUUCUGGGCCAUGACUGACGCUGAGGCGCGAAAGCUAGGGGAGCGAACAGGAUU
rnacentral:rRNA from 1 species